CCACCAGCACCCGGGCCCCGGGCAGCGGAGGGGGCGGCGGCGGCGGGUGCAGCCCGGGGUGCGCCUGGCCGUGAUGGUGGAAGUGGUGGAAAUGGUGCACACUUGGACCGGUGGAUGAUAAAGGGAUCACCUAGGAGAGAAUACCUUGGAGUCAUUGUCAUUAAAUCAAGCAAUUCUCAAAAUGCUGCCCUGGAUGCCCCCAAAUGAUAGCAACAGAAUCUUCAUGAUGCUGAGUGUGAUCCUCAGGAGGGGUCGUGGAUGGAUUCUGCACUGAUGAAGCUGGAAAUGCCUGCAAAUUCAUCCCUGGCUGGAACGGUCCCCCAGAUUGG